CUUUGUUUAAUAAGCAUCUGGUGCUUAAUGUGGUUAGGCAGCAUGUUAGUGAGAUAAAAAGAUAAAUCUGUCUCUAUGAUAGGAGUCUGUAUUGCCUUCUGGUUUCUCUAGAUAUUUCAAUGUAGCUUCUCUCCAGCCUGAGUUUGAGGACCUCUGAGCUAAACAACCUGUGGAAGAUGCUCUCAAGUUUCAAGUGUCUGGGACCAAGGAUUCAGAGUGAACACCAUGUGGGUUGUUUGGUGAGAAAGAUCCAACAUAAAGUAGCAGUAAUUCAUUGCCAGACUACACUGCUCAGGGACCUGCAAGAGUACUGA
rnacentral:lncRNA from 13 species